rnacentral:lncRNA from 10 species
CCUUAUUGUCCAUAUCACUAUCAGGCUUUUGGUCAAAGCCAUUCAACAACACUCUGAGGUCAUGAAAAGAGGUGGGACCUACGAAGACGAUUACUCUGAUAGUAACUGAGGAGAGUAGAUGCUGAGAAACACACAGAGAAAAAGCAAAAGACCAAGAGAUGGAGACAGACUACGGAAAGCUUCCAGAAAUCCUAAAAAGCAGAAAUGCUAUGCCAAUAAACACAAAAAUGUCAAAGUAAUAGAUAUUUCCAUCAAAAAGUAAAUUAGACAUUCAAAUUAAUUAUAAACAUUAAUUAACAUUUAAUUAAUGGAAAAUCCUAAAGGAUAAAAGAGUCAGUGCCAGAAAAGAAAAUUUAGAGAUAAGAUUCACUUAGAUUUCACUGUAUCCAAUUCUAAUUUUCCCUUCCAGAAAGGAGCAGGCUGUUUAUAAACCUUUGAAAGGAGGAAGACUCCACCACCCCUUUCUGCCUUACCUUACUAGUAAGGUGGUAAGAGAAGAUGUGUCUAGCUCUUCUAAAUAGUCCCAGAGCUAGCCAUAUACAGAAGAUUGAAGCUGGACCCUUUUCUUACACCAUCUACAAAAAUCAACUCAAGAUGGAUUAAAGACUUAAAUAUAAAACCUAAAAAUAUAAAAAGCCUGGAAGAUAACCUAGAAAAUAUCAUUCUGGACAUAGGACCUGGCAAAGAUUUCGUGAUAAAGACACUAAAAGCAACUGCAACAAAAACAAAAAUUGACAAAGGAGACCUAAUUAAACUAUGGAGUUCUACAUAGCAAAAGAAACUAUCAAGAGAGUAAACAGACAACCUACAGAAUAGGAGGAAAUAUUUGCAAACUAUCAGAUGGAUAGUUUGCAUCAGAUGGAUGGUUUCCAUCUGAUAAAGUUCUAAUAUCCAGAAUCUACAAGAAACUUAAACAAAUUUACAAGAAGAAAAAGAAAACAAUCCCAUUAAGAAGUUGGCAAAAGAUAUGAACAGACACUUUUCAAAAGCAGAUAUAUGUGAGGCCAAGAAGAGUAUGAAAAAAUGCUCAACAUCACUAAUCAUUAGAGAAAUGCAAAUCAAAAUCAUGAUUAGAUACAACUCACACCAGUCAGAAAAGUUAUUAUUUAAAAAAUCAAAAAAUAACAGAUACUGGCAAGGCAGUAGAGAAAAGGGAACACUUAUACACUGCUGGUGGGAAUGUAAAUUAGUUCACCUAUUGUGGAAAACAAUGUGGUGAUUUCUCAAUGAACCUAAAACAGAAUUACCAUUUGACCCAGCAAUCCCAUUACUGGAUAUAUAUCCAAAGGAAUACAAAUCAUUCUGCCACAAAGACAUAUUCUUGCAUAUGUUCAUCACAGUACUAUUCACAGUAGCAAAGACAUGGAACCAGCCUAAAUGCCUAUCAAUGGUAGCUACAAAAAUUAUAGUGGUAGACUGGAUAAGAACUAGGGGUUACAUACUCAUCAUAGAAUACUACGUAGCCAUCAAAAAGAAUGAGAUCAUGUCCUUUGCAGCAACAUGGAUGGAGCUGGAGUUCAUUAUCCUAAGCAAACUAACAUAGGAACAGAAAACCAAAUACCGCAUGUUCUCCCUUUUAAGUGGGAACUAAACAUUGAGUACACAUGGACACAAGGAAAGGGACAACAUACACGAGGGCCUACUUGAGGGUGAGGGUCAAAAACCUUUUUAUCAGGUACUAUGCCAAUUACCUGGGUGACAAAAUAAUCUGUACACCAAACCCUUGCAACAUUCAAUUUUUGUAUAUAACAAACCUCCACAUGUAUCUCUGAGCCUAAAAUAAAACUGAAUAAAAUGAACAAAUAAAUAAACAGCCCCAGAGAAGAGUCGCUGAGCUCAAUUCAAGUCUCAAACUAAAAAAAAAAAAAAAAAAUGCUAUGUUGUGAAGCAAAAGAUUUGGAGGUAGAAAUACCAUAUUUUCUAGGCAAACCCAGAUUUCUAUGCUCAUACAGGGGCUUUUUUCCCCCACUUCUAAGCUUGGCUAAACAUCCUGGUUACCACCAUACAUAAUGGAGAGCUUCUCUUUUGCUGCAUAAUUACUAGUGCCUUAGAUUCAACAGGUUUAUUAGGGCUAACUCUAUCAGGGGCUACACUACAUGCUAGACCAAUUCAAAUAUUUAGCAAACUCUAUGAAUAUUUAUUGAUCAUUUAUUGAUGUCAUGGUACUGGGCCCAACACCCAACUUGGUAUUAUAGAGUGUACCAAAAAAACAUGAAUGUGAUCUCUUACAUUCUAAGGAGGAGAAAAGACAUAUGCAUAUGGGAAGAUUUUAAAAGGACAAUAAACACAGACCAAGUCAAAUGAGAGACAUUUACAGUAAGUAAACGAGGAUAGAGAUUGCUAUGAGCUCAAGUACUCAGAGAAAACUUUUUUCAUGAUGUCUAAUAUACAAAGAAUGGUGCAUGACUAGAUGUUUGUUUUAGAAUAUUAUUCAGGUGACAUUAUUAAGGAUGGAUCUGAAGAAAAAAAGAAGACAAGGAAACUACUGCUGCAUCAGCAAUGAUACACAUUAACAUGAGAGCAGUGGGGAUGCAGAGAAACAGAUGCAUUUAAAUCACAUUAAGUAGAUCUCUUGUCAGAACUUAGUGAUUGAUUGGAAGAGAAGUUGCCAAACAAGGAAGAGUUAAGAAUGACACCCAAGAUUUUUGUCUAAGAAAAUUGUUUAGAUGUUUUUUCCAUUCACUGAGAUGCGAAUGCCUAUGAAGAGACAGACUUCUGUGUUAGGUGUUAUUCGAAAUACAGAAAUAGUAUGAGAUGUUGUCUCUGCCUGGAUUCCACUUCCAUUUUCUCUUUUUUUAUAUCCUUUAUUUCUCGAUAUAGGGUCUUGAGUAGUUUCAUUUCAUACAUUUAUUUAAAUAUUGUGAUGACCUAACUUACUGUCAUGUUAUCUUUAUUUAC